UAAGCGGAGGAAAAGAAACUAACAAGGAUUCCCCUAGUAACUGCGAGUGAAGCGGGAAAAGCUCAAAUUUAAAAUCUGGCGGUCUUUGGCUGUCCGAGUUGUAAUCUAGAGAAGUGUUAUCCGCGCUGGACCGUGUACAAGUCUCCUGGAAUGGAGCGUCAUAGAGGGUGAGAAUCCCGUCUUUGACACGGACUGCCAGGGCUUUGUGAUGCGCUCUCAAAGAGUCGAGUUGUUUGGGAAUGCAGCUCAAAAUGGGUGGUAAAUUCCAUCUAAAGCUAAAUAUUGGCGAGAGACCGAUAGCGAACAAGUACCGUGAGGGAAAGAUGAAAAGAACUUUGGAAAGAGAGUUAAACAGUACGUGAAAUUGCUGAAAGGGAAACGCUUGAAGUCAGUCGCGUUGUCCAGGGAUCAACCUUGCUUUUGCUUGGUGCACUUUCUGGUUGACGGGUCAGCAUCAAUUUUGACUAUUGGAAAAAGAUUAGGGGAAUGUGGCAUCUUCGGAUGUGUUAUAGCCCUUGGUUGUAUACAAUGGUUGGGAUUGAGGAACUCAGCACGCCGCAAGGCCGGGUUUUUAACCACGUACGUGCUUAGGAUGCUGGCAUAAUGGCUUUAAUCGACCCGUCUUGAAACACGGACCAAGGAGUCUAACAUGCCUGCGAGUGUUUGGGUGGAAAACCCGAGCGCGUAAUGAAAGUGAAAGUUGAGAUCCCUGUCGUGGGGAGCAUCGACGCCCGGACCAGACCUUUUGUGACGGUUCCGCGGUAGAGCAUGUAUGUUGGGACCCGAAAGAUGGUGAACUAUGCCUGAAUAGGGUGAAGCCAGAGGAAACUCUGGUGGAGGCUCGUAGCGAUUCUGACGUGCAAAUCGAUCGUCAAAUUUGGGUAUAGGGGCGAAAGACUAAUCGAA
rnacentral:rRNA from 1 species